UCUCGCCCGCUCGAACGCCGUUCGCCUCGUCCAGUCGAGCUACCGCCUCUGUCCAGUCUCUGUUUCACCUCUAGUCGGUCUCGUUCAGCCACCUCAGGCCGCCGCCCGACCACCUCCGGCCACCGUUGACCCCGCCGGAGCUCCGCCUCGCCCUCAGCCGCCCUUGGCCGCCUCAACCGGCCCCGAAUCUGCCCCGACCAGCA
rnacentral:lncRNA from 1 species